UUCCGGUUGAUCCUGCCGGACCCCACUGCUAUCGAGGUGGGACUAAGCCAUGCUAGUUGAGCGCACAGAACUAUGUCUGUGAGCGGCACACUGCUCAGUAACACGUAGCUAACCUACCCUUAGGACGUGGACAACCCCGAGAAAUUGGGGCUAAUCCGCGAUAGAUGUAUUGUCCUGGAAUGGUAUUACGUCUAAAGGUAUCCCAUACAUGUUUGGUAUAUGCCUAAGGAUGGGGCUGCGGCCGAUCAGGCUGUUGGUGAGGUAAUGGCUCACCAAACCUUUGACCGGUACGGGCCAUGAGAGUGGUAGCCCGGAGAUGGACACUGAGACAAGGGUCCAGGCCCUACGGGGCGCAGCAGGCGCGAAACCUCCUCAAUGCACUUACGUGCGAAGGGGCUACCUCGAGUGCCACCUGAUGAAGGUGGCUUUUCCUAGGUCUAAAAAGCCUUGGGAAUAAGAGGGGGGCAAGACUGGUGUCAGCCGCCGCGGUAACACCAGCCCCUCGAGUGGUGGGGAUGAUUAUUGGGCCUAAAGCGUCCGUAGCCUGCCGUGUAAGUUUCCCGUUAAAUCCAGCGUCUUAAGCGUUGGACCGCGGGAAAUACUGUACGGCUAGAGAGUGGGAGAGGUCAGCGGUAUUCUGGGGGUAGGGGCGUAAUCCUUUGAUCCCCGGAGGACCACCAGUGGCGAAGGCUGCUGUCUAGAACACGUCUGACGGUCAGGGACGAAAGCUGGGGUAGCGAACCGGAUUAGAUACCCGGGUAGUCCCAGCCGUAAACGAUGCAUGCUAGUGUUGGGUUGGCCACGAGCCACCCCAGUGCCGCAGGAAGCCGUUAAGCAUGCCGCCUGGGAAGUACGAUCGCAAGGUUGAAACUUAAAGGAAUCGCGGGGGAGCACUACAGUCGUGAAGCUGCGGUUUAGUGAAGUCACGC
rnacentral:rRNA from 1 species